rnacentral:tRNA from 1 species
ACCUGGCUGGCUCAGUCAGUAGAGCAUGUGAUUCUUGAUCUCAGGGUCAUAGUUCAAUUCCUAUGUUGGGGU